rnacentral:rRNA from 1 species
AAAUUGAAGAGUUUGAUCAUGGCUCAGAUUGAACGCUGGCGGCAGGCCUAACACAUGCAAGUCGAGCGGUAGCACAGAGAGCUUGCUCUCGGGUGACGAGCGGCGGACGGGUGAGUAAUGUCUGGGAAACUGCCUGAUGGAGGGGAUAACUACUGGAAACGGUAGCUAAUACCGCAUAAUGUCGCAAGACCAAAGUGGGGACCUUCGGGCCUCAUGCCAUCAGAUGUGCCCAGAUGGGAUUAGCUAGUAGGUGGGGUAACGGCUCACCUAGGCGACGAUCCCUAGCUGGUCUGAGAGGAUGACCAGCCACACUGGAACUGAGACACGGUCCAGACUCCUACGGGAGGCAGCAGUGGGGAAUAUUGCACAAUGGGCGCAAGCCUGAUGCAGCCAUGCCGCGUGUGUGAAGAAGGCCUUCGGGUUGUAAAGCACUUUCAGCGGGGAGGAAGGCGAUAAGGUUAAUAACCUUGUCGAUUGACGUUACCCGCAGAAGAAGCACCGGCUAACUCCGUGCCAGCAGCCGCGGUAAUACGGAGGGUGCAAGCGUUAAUCGGAAUUACUGGGCGUAAAGCGCACGCAGGCGGUCUGUCAAGUCGGAUGUGAAAUCCCCGGGCUCAACCUGGGAACUGCAUUCGAAACUGGCAGGCUAGAGUCUUGUAGAGGGGGGUAGAAUUCCAGGUGUAGCGGUGAAAUGCGUAGAGAUCUGGAGGAAUACCGGUGGCGAAGGCGGCCCCCUGGACAAAGACUGACGCUCAGGUGCGAAAGCGUGGGGAGCAAACAGGAUUAGAUACCCUGGUAGUCCACGCCGUAAACGAUGUCGAUUUGGAGGUUGUGCCCUUGAGGCGUGGCUUCCGGAGCUAACGCGUUAAAUCGACCGCCUGGGGAGUACGGCCGCAAGGUUAAAACUCAAAUGAAUUGACGGGGGCCCGCACAAGCGGUGGAGCAUGUGGUUUAAUUCGAUGCAACGCGAAGAACCUUACCUGGUCUUGACAUCCACAGAACUUAGCAGAGAUGCUUUGGUGCCUUCGGGAACUGUGAGACAGGUGCUGCAUGGCUGUCGUCAGCUCGUGUUGUGAAAUGUUGGGUUAAGUCCCGCAACGAGCGCAACCCUUAUCCUUUGUUGCCAGCGGUUAGGCCGGGAACUCAAAGGAGACUGCCAGUGAUAAACUGGAGAAAGGUGGGGAUGACGUCAAGUCAUCAUGGCCCUUACGACCAGGGCUACACACGUGCUACAAUGGCAUAUACAAAGAGAAGCGACCUCGCGAGAGCAAGCGGACCUCAUAAAGUAUGUCGUAGUCCGGAUUGGAGUCUGCAACUCGACUCCAUGAAGUCGGAAUCGCUAGUAAUCGUAGAUCAGAAUGCUACGGUGAAUACGUUCCCGGGCCUUGUACACACCGCCCGUCACACCAUGGGAGUGGGUUGCAAAAGAAGUAGGUAGCUUAACCUUCGGGAGGGCGCUUACCACUUUGUGAUUCAUGACUGGGGUGAAGUCGUAACAAGGUAACCGUAGGGGAACCUGCGGUUGGAUCACCUCCUUA